UACGGAGGGGGCUAGCGUUGUUCGGAAUUACUGGGCGUAAAGCGCGCGUAGGCGGACCUGCAAGUCGGGGGUGAAAGCCCGAGGCUCAACCUCGGAACUGCCUUCGAUACUGCGGGUCUCGAGUCCGGGAGAGGUGAGUGGAAUUCCUAGUGUAGCGGUGAAAUGCGUAGAUAUCAGGAGGAACACCUGCGGUGUAGACGGCUUUCUGGACCACGACUGACGCUGAGGCACGAAAGCGUGGGUAGCAAACAGG
rnacentral:rRNA from 1 species